GUGAUGAAGAGCCCCCAUUGUCGUCGUCGUCAUCAUCAUCGUCGUCAUCAUCAUUGUCGUCUUCAUCAUUGUCGUCGUCGUCAUCUUCGGAAGAACCCCGUCAUCGUCAUCGUCAACGUUGGAAGAGCUCCAUCAUCAUCGUCGUCAUCGUUAAAGUCAACGUUAUGAAGAGCCCGCCAUUAUUGACACCGUCGGAAGAGCCCCGUCGUCAUCGUCACCGUGAUGAAGAGCCCCCAUUGUCAUCGUCAUCAUCAUCAUCAUUGUCAACGUUGGAAGAACCCCAACAUCGUCAUCGUCACCGGUGGAAGAGCUCCGUCGUCAUCGUUGUCAUUGUUAAAGUCAACUUUAUGAAGAGCCCGCCAUUAUUGUCACUGUCGGAAGAGCCCCGUUGUCAUCGUCACCAUGAUGAAGAGCCCCCACUGUCAUCAUCAUCAUCAUCAUCAUCAUCGUCAACGUUGGAAGAACCCCGUCAUCGUCAUCGUCACCGGUGGAAGAGCCCCGUCGUCAUCGUCACCGUGAUGAAGAGCCCCCAUUGUCAUCGUCAACGUUGGAAGAGCCUUCGUCAUCGUCAUCGUUAUUGUCACAAGUGGAAGAGCCAUCGCCAUCAUCGUCACCUCGAUGAAGAGCCCCAUCUUCAUCUUCAUCUUCAUCUUCAUCUUCAUCUUCAUCUUCAUCUUCAUCUUCAUCUUCAUCAUCAACAUUACGAAGAGCCCCCGUUGUCAUCGGCACCCUUGGGAGAGCCAUCAUCAUCAUCAUCGUCAUCAUCGUCAUCAUCAUCAUCGUCACAGUUGGAAGAGCCAUCUUCAUCAUCAUCAUCAUCAUCGGGAAGAGCCUUCGUUGUCAUCGUGGGAAGAGCCUUCAUCGUCAUUUUCAUCAUCAUCAUCAUCAUCAUCUUCAUCAUCGUCGUCACCGCUGCGAAGAGCCCCCGUGGUCCUCACGCUCUUCAUCCUCACUGCCACCAUCCUCUUCCUCCUCAUCAUCACCGUUGCCUUCCUCUUCCUCCUCCUCCUCCUCCUCUUCUUCCUCCUCUUCCUCACCGUUUUCCUCAUCUUCCUCCUCGUCAUCACCACCACCACCGUCCUCCUCCUCCUCACCUUCAUCUUCGUCACCAUCAUCACCUUCCUCCUCCUCCUCCUCACCUUCAUCUUUGUCACCAUCAUCACCGCCACCUUCUUCCUCCUCCUCCUCCUCCUCC
rnacentral:lncRNA from 1 species